CAGUCGCCGCGGGAAUACGAAGGGGGCUAGCGUUGUUCGGAUUUACUGGGCGUAAAGCGCACGUAGGCGGACAUUUAAGUCAGGGGUGAAAUCCCAGAGCUCAACUCUGGAACUGCCUUUGAUACUGGGUGUCUGGAGUAUGGAAGAGGUAAGUGGAAUUCCGAGUGUAGAGGUGAAAUUCGUAGAUAUUCGGAGGAACACCAGUGGCGAAGGCGGCUUACUGGUCCAUUACUGACGCUGAGGUGCGAAAGCGUGGGGAGCAAACAGGAUUAGAUACCCCGGUAGUCCCUGUCUCUUAUAC
rnacentral:rRNA from 1 species